AAAUGUUUUUCACUCCAGGCAUUCGGUCCCAAUCAUCAUCAGCUCUGAUGAUGUCACAUACAUGGCGAGUCCACAACGUCUUGAAAUUGUUUCUGUAAAGUGCAGUGGUCCAGUGAAUGGGAAUGUUCUGUCGUUGAUCCUCACUGUUCUUAGGAAGGAGAAUUAUUACUGCAGUAAUACUGUGACAUUGUAUUAAAACAAUACUCUGUCCUUGGUGAAA